GUGUGUGUGUGUAUAUAUAUAUGUAUAUAUAUUUUUUUCAUUUUAAUAUAGGAUUUACUCUCCCAUAUGCUACAUAUGGACCCACAUCAGCGGUACACUACAGAACAAGUAUUAAAACACUCAUGGAUAACCCACAGAGAUCAGUUGCUGAAUGAUCAGCCAAAUAGAUAUGAUGCAUCACAUGUCAUUAAGGGAGUAGUGGUCACCACAUGUUCUGCCCUGACUCACAAGACCUUUCAACCAGUCCUUGAGCCUGUUGCUGCUUCAAACUUAGCUCAGCGACGGAGCAUGAAAAAACGAACAUCAACUGGCCUAUAAGAUUUCUAGUGUUCCUCAGCCAGACUGGAUGAAGAGAAAAUUAAAUGUGUGGCUUUUUGCCUAAUCUUAUAUCAAAGGCAUUGUUUUCUGCUACAUUACUUGAAUAUUCUGUUUAAGCCUCCUUUUUUAGGGAGAUGAGAUAAAAAAAAAUACACAGGUCCACAGUAUUCAUACUCUAUGUUGUUUUGUAGUGGUGUCCAAGUGUUUAAAUAUAUAAUUGGUGUCUACAAGGUCCUAACAACUUCUCUGCACACUAACUUGUAAAGUUCCUUUCAAAUAAAGUUAUUUUAAUAGUUUUUCUAGUUUCAUAAGAUAAUGAUUUGGGGAAUCAGUACCAACAAUCAGGAUGCAAAUACAAUAGUAUAAUGCCAAGCAAUGCCAAUAUUUGUAACAUCAGAUCCUGAAGAAUAGGCUUUUUUAAAAAAGAAAACAAACAAAAAUGUAUUGUACAAACUUGUUUUUGCAUACAACCAAAGGACUACAUUCAUUUGUGCCAAUACAUGAGCUCCUGAUAUAGUUGGUGCCAAAAUUUUUACAGAAUCAAAUCACAGAUUAUGUAUUCAGACAGACCUAUAUAUUAUCCAUAAGUGUCCUCAUCUAGAAAUAAAGGUUUCCAUAAGACCUCUGUAAAUUUUACAUCUAAUGAAAUUAUGGUACAAAUGAAUAAUUUUUUCAGCCAAAGGCUUUAUAAUUGGUCUUGUAAUCUACUAAAUAGGUUAUAAUUAAGCCUUUGAAAAUAAAGUACAUGUGUUGAUACCACCUUCAUGAUAUAUAGACAUACUUUAAAUUUACUCAAUUGGAUUUAAUCAUAUUUUUCCCUUUGGUAAUGAACUACAUUUUUGUCUUUGGACUUUCAAAAUUUAAUUACAGUGUAGUGUAUUAAUUUACCUUGAAUCCUAUGGUUAUAUAGUUUAAAUUUUAUUGUAAUGGACUUGUGGGCUUAGCCCACAUGAUAUAAUACAAUGCAUUUCAGUAAACUUUAAACAUUGCUACAAAGAGAUAAACUAACAUUUUGAAAAGAAAAUAAUAUUAAUGAUCUACAUAAAAUUUGAGCACAUUUUACAUUUUAUUUAUGAAAAAAUUCUGGCAAAAUUGGUCUUAUUUUUAAAUUUAUGAUUUAGAACCAUGGGGUAGUAUAUAUUGUUAUCUCAAAUGAUAGAAUUUUAAAGAAUCUUUUCAUUUUGUUGAAGAAAAUACCAUUACUACUACUACUACUACUGACAGAAAGAACUCAUGAAUGUAAACUGGAGGAUAUUACAGCUUUGUUUAGUGAAUAUAAGCGAACAACUUGUGUGUGCUAAGUGUACUGUUUUUUGUGUAUUUUGCUUAAUCCAGAGAGCAAGAUGAUUACUAAGCACUGAAGUAUAAAAUUCAGUCUAGAAGACUUGUAACUUUGGUAUUCAAUAAAGGAAACUAUACAUAUUCUCUUUAUAAUAUAAGUGAUAUAUAUUCCAUAUAAAAAGAUCUGUUUCUUUGGUAUGAUGUAUAAAAGUAUACAUCUUUACUUUGAGGUGUCUUUUGUAAUAAUUGAAAGAUUUAAAAACAUCUAAUGCCACAUGGAAAACAUUAUUUAGUAAUAGACAUGUACCAUAUCUUGUGGAUUUUUCUUUCCCAAUUUUGCCUUUUCUUUCCUCAUUUUGCUUUCUUACUAGAAUUACUUGCAUGUAACCAUUUGUGUUCAUAUAUUCUGACUUACUUUCCUCUUGUCAUUAUCUUAUUGGUGCUGUCAUGCCUUCUUUUUAUCAGAAUUAAUAUGACAAACUUAGAGGUAUGAUUUUGGUGUUGGACUUUUCAGAACAGAGAUACAAUUUCCAAGUAUUCUUUUCAAGUAAUAGCAUUAGGGUAUGUGAAAUUGGAAAGUGCAAAAUUAUCACAAAAUAACUUACAAUCUUUCUAUAUUAAUUAAUCUUUCCAUAUAAUUAAUUACAAUCUUUCUAAAUUAAUUAAUGGUUUUUAAAAGUAGAUUAUCUUAAUUAAUUUCUCACUGAGGUUGCUCAGAGGGGUAAUAUUAUACAGUCCUUUCAUGAAUGGAACACAAUCAGAAUUAAGCAAUGAACAGCAAGAUUCUUCAUCACUCAAUGAGGAUUGAAAAAUUAUAAAAAGACACAGAAACACUAGUAGAUUUUCCCAAUAAUGGUGCAAAACUUUUCUGCUGGAAAAUUCAAAGCAGAUUUAAAAAAGUAGUAGGGACAACUUUAGUAUAAAGGAAAUCUUCAAAUUAUACUCUAAUUUUAUAGAAGGAAUCCAGAUAGGGACGUUUACUCAUGUACUUUUUGGCUAGAGCAAUAAAUUCAUAUGUAAAUGGGAGCUGUUUUGGUGGGGUUCCUAUAAAUGCUUAACCAGUAAAACAAAUCCUUUCUAUAAAAUUUUAGUAUACUGUGGUUUCUAAUGGAUUCAUGAACAAUUAAUUUCCAUUGCUUUUCUUUUUAGUUGAUGGUUCUUGCUAGUAUUUACUGAUAGCACAAUUUAGGAGUUUUGUUGUUCUGGAAAGGAGAGGAUAUUGUAGUCUUAUUUUCCUCAAAGGGAAAACAUCAUGUUUUCCCAGAAAGACUAAGAAUCUAUGGUCCUAAAGUGCAUAUUAUCGUAAGUAAACACAGGAAGGCAUUGGUAAGUAAAUUAAAAUGUAGUGGUGGUGAUUUUGUGGGGGUGAAAUGGUUUCAGCCAAUUCAUGAAAAUCAAACUUGAGCCUCUUUUGUUAGACAUAGAAAUGCCUAAACAUUAAUUUUUGCAAUGUAUUGCUAUCAGUAAUUAAACAUAAAAAAA